rnacentral:rRNA from 1 species
UACGAAGGGGGCUAGCGUUGCUCGGAAUCACUGGGCGUAAAGCGCACGUAGGCGGCUUGUUAAGUCAGGGGUGAAAUCCUGGAGCUCAACUCCAGAACUGCCUUUGAUACUGGCGAGCUUGAGUCCGGGAGAGGUGAGUGGAACUGCGAGUGUAGAGGUGAAAUUCGUAGAUAUUCGCAAGAACACCAGUGGCGAAGGCGGCUCACUGGCCCGAUACUGACGCUGAGGCACGAAGGCCAGGGGAGCAAACGGG